rnacentral:rRNA from 1 species
AGUGAACGUUGGCGGCGUGGAUUAGGCAUGCAAGUCGUGCGACAAGUCUCGUUUUAGCUUGCUAUUAGAGAUGGAGGAGCGGCGAAAGGGUGAGUAACGCGUGGAUACCUGCCCCUAGGCCCGGGAUAGCGUCGGGAAACUGGCGGUAAUACCGGAUAACAUCUCCGGAUCAAAGGUGUGAUUCCGCCUAGGGAUGGGUCCGCGUCCUAUUAGCUUGUUGGUGGGGUAAUGGCCUACCAAGGCAAAGAUGGUACCGGGUGUGAGAGCAUGGCCCGGCACACUGGGACUGAGACACUGCCCAGACACCUACGGGUGGCUGCAGUCGAGAAUCUUCCGCAAUGGGCGCAAGCCUGACGGAGCGACGCCGCGUGCGGGAUGAAGGCCUUCGGGUUGUAAACCGCUGUCAGUGGGGAGCAAGUCCCAGGGAGUUAUCUCCUUGGGUUGAGCGAUCCGCAGAGGAAGCGCAGGCUAAGUUCGUG